AGUGCAGAAGCCCAGGCUCUGAGUCUUCCCCACUAAAAAGGAUCUAUAUUUCAACAGGAUUCCCGGGUGGCCUAAUGCAGAACAACAGUUGAGAAGCACUAGUGUAGAGAUUAUCCUGCUUCACAGGUGUGGAAACGGGUCCGGAAAUGGCAAGGAAUGUAUCCUAGAAGUCUUCCUUUGUGUAAACG
rnacentral:lncRNA from 1 species